rnacentral:rRNA from 1 species
CCAGCACCCCGAGUGGUCGGGACGAUUAUUGGGCCUAAAGCAUCCGUAGCCGGUUUUACAAGUCCUCCGUUAAAUCCGACUGCUUAACAGAUGGGCCGCGGAGGAUACUAUAAGACUAGGAGGCAGGAGAGGCAAGCGGUACUCAGUGGGUAGGGGUAAAAUCCGUUGAUCCAUUGAAGACCACCAGUGGCGAAGGCGGCUUGCCAGAAUGCGCUCGACGGUGAGGGAUGAAAGCUGGGGGAGCAAACCGGAUUAGAUACCCGGGUAGUCCCAGCUGUAAACGAUGCAGACUCGGUGAUGGACUAGCUUCAUGCUAGUCCAGUGCCGCAGGGAAGCCGUUAAGUCUGCCGCCUGGGUAGUACGGUCGCAAGACUG